rnacentral:rRNA from 1 species
AGCGAACGCUGGCGGCAGGCCUAACACAUGCAAGUCGAACGAACCUUUCGGGGUUAGUGGCGGACGGGUGAGUAACACGUGGGAACGUGCCUUUAGGUUCGGAGUAACUCAGGGAAACUUGUGCUAAUACCGAAUGUGCCCUUCGGGGGAAAGAUUAAUCGCCUUUAGAGCGGCCCGCGUCUGAUUAGCUAGUUGGUUGAGGUAAUGGCUCACCAAGGCGACGAUCAGUAGCUGGUCUGAGAGGAUGAUCAGCCACAUUGGGACUGAGACACGGCCCAAACUCCUACGGGAGGCAGCAGUGGGGAGUCUUGCGCAAUGGGCGAAAGCCUGACGCAGCCAUGCCGCGUGAAUGAUGAAGGUCUUAGGAUUGUAAAAUUCUUUCACCGGGGACGAUAAUGACGGUACCCGGAGAAGAAGCCCCGGCUAACUUCGUG